CGCAACAACACAAAUAUGUGUACAGGGUCUGAUAACAGUUCUUCACUUCCUGGUGCAAACAUCUAAAUAAAAUUCAUUAUUUACGAAAAGUGAUACAAAAUUGUUUGACUUUUAUAGGUGGAGAGUUACAAAUCUUUGACAUAGUUAUGUUUUCUUUCUUACCGCUGCCCCUUGUAGUUUUAUGUUGUGUUGCCUCAGAAGCCACAUCGUGUAACACAAGAUUUAGCGAUGUAUCGUUUCUCAAAGACUUUGGAUUAAAGGCGUCAAGCGA